rnacentral:lncRNA from 1 species
AAACUUGUCCUACAAAUAGUAUGUCACUAAACUGUGGCAUUUGCACUCCGGUUUUUCAAAAUGAAAAACUACAAUUUUAAAAAUUCACGUUUGUUAUGGUAACAAUAAAAAGUUUGAAUUAGGUACCAUGAAAGUGGGGAAAACAAAGAAAUCAAAAUACCUAUUCAAUGAUUAAAAGCAGUUCAAUACUAUUAACAAUUUGAGGUUUUUUUAAAUCUCCUGUUUCCCACACAUGGAGCACACGGACUUUAAUCUUCCAUUCGAUCUUUCCUGCGAAAAUAUUCGGUACCUUGUGCGAAGUU